rnacentral:misc_RNA from 1 species
UAAAAAUAAAAAUAAAAACUAUGAAGCAAACAGGGCCAACAAAUAUAGGCAAUCUCAAUUUAGUGAUGCAAACAAGCUUUCUUUGGAAUAAAUCAUUUGAAAGCAAAGAAUUCAAAUGAAUUCUCAUACAAUCAUACUUGAUUUUUAUUUCUUUUAAUUUUUUUUUUAAGUUAUAAAGAAUAGUAUUCAAAAAAGAAGAGAUGAAACCGAAGGAAAGAAGAGAGAUGCAUUUGUGAGUUGACAUCAACUAAUUGUAUUCUUGUAUCAAAAUUAUGUUCUUAGAAAUGUGGUUGCCAUGAUAAAUUUUUGUCCUUGCUGGUGUAUUUGGAUGAGAUUUAGAC